CCUGUCAGCAGUAAAGGAUGCAGUUAGAGACAGGAUCGUGACUCCUCUCCAGCUGCAUGGCCGAUCUGCCCACACCUUCUGGCGUCAUAAAGUUGUCAUUCCCUCUCUUAUGGCUGUUGGAGAGAACACAGGGCCUCCUCCUGCCUACUGAGCACAGUUCCUUCUAACCAUGGAGUGGUAUCCCAGACCCAGUUAGAAGGGCAAACACGGCUGGCUUUUCACAUGGAUUCUGGAGGCCUGUGCAGGAAGUGCUGCUCAUACCUGCUGGACCAACCUCCCAGCCUCAGCCUGGGGGUGGGGUAUGUAAAAAGAAAAAUAUUUUAAAGAUCUUAUGAUUUUUAAAAUUAACCAACAAGAAUAUUUUUGUUUUCUUGUGAUGUUGGGCCUUAUGUAUCCUAUCCCUCUGAUUGGGUCCCCAAGUCAAAGGCUCUAAAUCUAGUAAUUAAACACAAACAGUAAUUGAGGGCGUGGGGUGUUUUUUUCAAGACAGGGUUUCUCUGUGUAUCCUAGAACUCACUCUGUAGACCAAGCUAGCCUUGAACUCAGAGAUUUGCCUGCCUCUGCCUCUAGGGUGCUGGGACUAAAGCUAUGUGUACCACCUAAUACUUGUUUGUUUGUUUGUUUGUUUGUAUGUAUGUAUAUAAAUGUGCCUGAGUAUGUAUGAGACCAAAGGACCAUGUCCGACCCCUUGGAACAGAAGUUACAGGUAAUUGUGAGCCACCUGGAUGUGUAGGAAGCAGAUCUGGGGCCUCUCAAAAGCAGCAGGUGCUCAUGACUGCUAAGCCAUCUGUCCAACACAAUGCUGUAUUCUAAGUUUAUAUUUAAAAUAUAACUUAAAGGCCGCUUCUAAUUGGAUGAGUACUGGUUAUGAGCUCAGAGACUGCAAAGGUGGCGAGGGAGAGUGUGGACAGGUGUACCGGCAUAGCACUCCUGGGCAUUCUAGGGCCUGCCAGGGCACAGUACCAUUACAAGACUCCCACCCGCUUCCUACUCUGUCUGCAGACGCAAUGACAUGUGAUCAGCUCUUUUCACAGGGAACCUGUAGGGCUACAUACCUGUCACAAACACUGAAGUACCCUGUGGGGAAGCGGUGCUGCCAGCAGUACUGGUCGUCCUCAGUGUGGAAAACCUUCUCCUUGUGCUUCUCGGAGGAGAUGUGGUCUUGCCACUGCUUCUCACUGUUACAGUUCUUCCCACACAUCCAGCAGUGGAAGUCCACCUAAAGGGUGCAGGGAGACGUGCUGCCUGAGAGCCUGUGCCUCCCACUGCUGCCUGAGCUUAAUGCAGGCUCCAAUCUGGGGAAGCCAGCGAGGGACAUAUAACCCAAAAUCAGACCAAUGCACAAGAAAUGUCAUUUGAAAGGCAGUUAGGUGUUCUGAGCUGGGUUAACACCCUGAGGGAAAGCAGGAGCUGCACAAGGUCAGAGCAGGCCAGCCCUAGAAUAAGCAACAGCAAUUCUACACGAGCGAAUCCCAACAACACAAGAUAGGUAUUAGGCACCCAGAAAGUAAAGAUGCUGGCCCUGCAAGGACAGAGGUGCACAUCACGGAAAGGUUGAAGUGCUAUAAGACACCCACACUCAGGUUGUCCUGAGCACACACACAGGACCGGGACAGACAACAGCCCUGCAGUGUGAGGGCAUGGGUAAGAUGCAGGGUUGAAAGCAGGAAACAAGUGGCAGGAGCACGCGCUGCUGCCAGGUGCUGACUACAAAUGAACAAGAGCCACAGAGUGAUGGCCAGGCACAGCGGUUCAUGUCUAUAAUCCCAGUGCUCUGGAGGCUAAGUAAAGAUGACUGCUCAAAUUCACGAUCAGCCUGGGCUACAGAGGGGCGGGGGCACGUCACUGCUUGAUAUAUAAACAUAGCAUGGAGAAAUGCACCCUGGUUCCUCUGGGCACAACACACACACACUUCCCACCUUAUCUCCAGGACCUAAUCUACAGACAGAGCACUAACGUCAGUCACUAGGAGAGACCGGCUCAAGCCAUUCAUGUUGCCUUUACUUUUUACAAAGGUCUCGCUGUGGAGCCCUAGCAGACCUGAAACUUGCUCUAAGAGGCUGGCUUUGAACUUAAGAAAUCACCUGCCUCCACUCUCCAAGUGAUGAGCUGAAAGGUGUGCAUCUCCUCAGGUGUCAUGAUUGGCUUUUGAGACGUGUUCUCAUGUAGCCCAGGAUGGCCUCCAAUUUGCCAGGCAUCCAAAGAUGACCUUGGAUUUCUGACGCUUCAUCUGGAACUCUCAAGAGUGCUGGGAUUAAAAGCAUAUACCGCCACAUCCAGUUUACGCAGUGCCAAGAUGAAACAGAGUGUUAUGCAUGCUAAGCAAGGACGCUACCAACUGGGCUACGUCCCAACCAAGCUUCUUUAUGGUUUUGAAAUUAAGACAUUAAGCAAGACAAUUUCAACACAAGGAGACUUAAGCUAAUGGCAAAAAAGCACAGAAGGAAAAAGACAGUGGAGGGAGACAGGCUGCAGGGGACAGGGUCAGGCUUUGGAGAAGGGAGGAAGGCAAGGCUGCAUGGGCAGCCCUGCAGCAGGCCUGCGUGAGCAGCGGUACUCACAGUGACUUCCGCAUAGUCUGUUGGCAUGUGGAUCUGCUUCCCGUUUUCUUUGCUACAGUGACUGGAUGUCUCAUCACUUUUUUCAGUUUUCUGGUUCUUCAGCCAGAGUUCAUAAAACUGCUCUAUAUCAUGUACUGAAAAAAAAAUAAAAGACCUGUGUUCAGCGACAACCACACAAUGCCAUUCAAAUACACACAAGCACGUGGACUGCCUCUGCUGCUACACCUUCAAAACAAACUUGGUGCACAUCUUUACUCCCAGUACUCAGGAGGCAGAGGCAGGUGGAUCUCUGAAUUUGAGGCCAGCCUGGUCUACAGGUUGAGUUCCAGGACAGCAAGAGCUACAUAGAGAAACCCUGUCUCAAAAAACAAAGCAAACAAACAAAAAAUCUGUAGUAAAACUAUUUAGAUUCAAAAGUGAAAUGCUGUCUGAAACACCUCUCAAACGCCCACCUAUCUGAUGGCCACAACUGAUCUUGUCUAGAGUCAUAGAGGAACUGAGCUGUCCCGGACAACUUUUAAGGAGGUUACAUGCCUAUUACAUGCAGGGUGUAGAAGUGCAGAUUCACACAAAUGUGGCCUAACAGAAUGCAUAUCACAAGUUUGCACACCACAGAGGCUAUGGUAGUGCUCCCAGCAAGCAGCAGCAGCACCAGAGCUGCAGCCCAAACCUGUGAACUGCGUGUGUGCUCACAGGUAUCAAGGACAGACAGAUGAACUUACUUUUGUUAUCCUUCAUGUAAGUCCACACUUCCCGUUCCUCAGGACUAUGAGCAAAGGAACAGUUGCCAACAUACUGACACUUUUUUCUAUUAGCAAUAUGGUUGCAUAGCUGUGUUGAGAAAAAAAUACAAAUAUAAUAUAUAUAAUACAUAACAGACAAAAUCACACACACACGCGAACACACACACGCACAUGCACACAUGCACACACACACACGCGAACACACGCACGCACAUGCACACAUGCACACACACACACACAGGCACGGCACAUGCGGGCACACACAUAUACACUAAAGACACUACAUAUACAUUGCUUAGUAUAACUGAUUUUACAUUAGAGCAAAAUAAGUCUUGCGAUCAGUGCUAAUGCUGAGUAGCACAAAUUUUCAGAUGAAUUCUAUUUAAAUGCACCAGCAGCCCAAAACACAUAGUGAUAGCAAACAUUUCUGUUUCAGAAAGUUUUCCAAAGAAAGUGAAGCACAGAUUUAAGGAGUACAAAUUUCCUACAAAACCACAUACUAGGGAUCUCAUCUCUGCAGUGAACAUGAUACCCUCUCUGUCAAGUGGCUACUGUUCUCUUCCCAUAAUAUUCACGAUGCCUCCAAAUCAGAACUCGGGACAGAAAGAGAACUUAGCUUGCUCCACAGGUUACUAGAUAGUGCCAGGAAGCUUCCAGACUCGAAGUGCUAAUGACCUCACACAGCUAACCUUAACCACAAGUCUAGAUACAGUAUAUCUGAAGACACCUGAUGCUCUAACCAGUGAUAAAGAGGCUUUCCAACAGCACUCCUCCGGUUAAGUGGAAUUUUAAUUAACAAGGGGAACAAGGUGGCAGGAGUAGGAGAAUGAAGUGACAGUGAUCAUCAGACAAGUUUUCUGGAAGAAUCACUAGUCCCCAAGAAACAGAAGAUCCUCCAUCACCAAGAAAGGUCUCAGCAGGUGGCUGGCUGUGCUGCUGCGAAAGCCCUUAACUGCUAACUGGGUUGAUGUGCUCUUCACCAGGAACUGGCCUUUCCCACUACUUACCUUACACAACAGUGAAUGCCCAGCAUCUGCUUUUGAAAACUCUCAACAUUACAUUUUCUCCUGGGAUGAAAUCAGUAACCUCGCAUGAAAACCUACAGGCGGCCAGCAGUCUAUGUACUGAGUCAGCUUCAUCACAGACUUGGAUACAUUCUUUUUGUUCGUUUUCUUUUGAGACUUUGAGAAAGGGUCUGCUCAUGUAGCCCUGGCUAGCCUUAAGCCAUAAGCCAGGAUGGCCUUAAACUUGUAGUGACUCUUCUAAGUGCUGGAGUCACAGGGUGAGCUGCCACCCCUGCCUUACCCAGUCACUCAAAAAUAAAGAACAGGGAGUAUGAAGCACAAGGCCAGGCACUGGGCUUUAGAGACUCCCAUAACAGACUACUGUCCUUGUGCAUAAUGAUCCCAUUUACCAGAUAGGCAAAUAAAGCCACAGAAUAUUACAGGCUCCUUCUGAAGGAGGGUGUUCCUACCUCCCCACAAUCUCUAUAACACACACACACACACACACACACACACACACAUACACACACACACACACACACACUUUAAAAAAAGGGUUCCUACGGGAUUGGGGAUUUAGCUCAGUGGUAGAGCGCUUGCCUAGGAAGCGCAAGGUCCUGGGUUCAGUCCCCAGCUCCGAAAAAAAAAAAAAGAACAACAAAAAAAAAAAAAAAAAAAAAAAAAAAAGGGUCCCUACAA